rnacentral:rRNA from 1 species
CCUACGGGAGGCUGCAGUGGGGAAUAUUGGACAAUGGGGGGAACCCUGAUCCAGCCAUGCCGCGUGUGUGAAGAAGGCCCUCGGGUUGUAAAGCACUUUCAGUGAGGAAGAACGCCUGGUGGUUAAUACCCAUCAGGAAAGACAUCACUCACAGAAGAAGCACCGGCUAACUCCGUGCCAGCAGCCGCGGUAAUACGGAGGGUGCGAGCGUUAAUCGGAAUUACUGGGCGUAAAGCGCGCGUAGGUGGCUUGACAAGCCGGUUGUGAAAGCCCCGGGCUCAACCUGGGAACGGCAUCCGGAACUGUCAAGCUAGAGUGCAGGAGAGGAAGGUAGAAUUCCCGGUGUAGCGGUGAAAUGCGUAGAGAUCGGGAGGAAUACCAGUGGCGAAGGCGGCCUUCUGGACUGACACUGACACUGAGGUGCGAAAGCGUGGGUAGCAAACAGGAUUAGAUACCCUGGUAGUC